rnacentral:rRNA from 1 species
GAUGAACGCUAGCGGCAGGCUUAACACAUGCAAGUCGAGGGGUAGAAGUUUUCGGACUUUGAGACCGGCGCACGGGUGCGUAACGCGUAUGCAAUCUACCUUUUACAGAGGGAUAGCCCAGAGAAAUUUGGAUUAAUACCUCAUAGUAUUAUGAAAUGGCAUCAUUUUAUAAUUAAAGUCACAACGGUAAAAGAUGAGCA